rnacentral:lncRNA from 1 species
UCAACCCCUUCUUUUUCUUCCUCUACAUCUUUCUCUUUUUCACUCAAACAUUCUUUUUCUUCUCUCUCUAUUUUUUUGUCAUCCUCUUUCUUUUCUUCCCUCUCUUUGUCCUUUUCUUUUCCCUCACUUUCUUCCUUUUCUACCUCUUUCUCUUUCUUACUCAAACUUUCUUCUUCUUCUCUCUCUAUUUUCAUCUCAUCCUCUUUCUUUUCUUCUCCUUUUUCUCUCUCCUUAUUUGACACCUUACCACUUUCAAUGAAAACAUCUUUGCAUUCCUUACCAAGGUCAUCUCUCAAAUAACUCUCAAGAUUAUCCAGCUCUUGAAUUAUGAAUUUACACUAUGCCUCCAUCCUUUCGGAUGUUGCUAUAGUGCUUUCCUGAAUUGAGAGAG